rnacentral:rRNA from 1 species
GGGUAACGGCCCACCAAGGCGACGAUCGGUAGCCGGACUGAGAGGGCGACCGGCCACAUUGGGACUGAGACACGGCCCAAACUCCUACGGGAGGCAGCAGUGGGGAAUAUUGCACAAUGGGGGAAACCCUGAUGCAGCGACGCCGCGUGAGUGAAGAAGUAUUUCGGUAUGUAAAGCUCUAUCAGCAGGGAAGAAACUGACGGUACCUGACUAAGAAGCCCCGGCUAACUAC